rnacentral:rRNA from 1 species
AUAGUCUUUUAAUUGUAGACUUGUGAAUGGUUCAAUGAGGUGUGAUUAAGGUGAUGGUCUAUUAUCUGAAUUUAGUUUAGUGGUUAGGAAUCCAUUGUUACAUUAUUAGACGGAAAGACCCCAAGAGCUUUUUUGUGUUAGAUUUGUUUGGGGUAAAUGUAGAUUAUUCAUUUAUUUUUAGAUCCUUCAUGGAUAAAGGAUAAAGUUACCUUGGGGAUAACUGAGUAAAGGGCAGGGAGAGGUCCUAUUGAUCUGUUUAUUACUACCUCGAUGUUGGCUUGUUGAACCUUUUCGGUGUAGAGGCUGGAAAAGGAAGUCUGUUCGACUUUUAAAUCUUCAUGAGUUGAGUUAAGACCGGUGUAAGCCAGGUUGGUUCUUAUCUAUAAUUGGUUCUAAUUAGUACGAAAGGAUUAUUAGGAUACAGUGUUUCUGUACACAUAGGAAUAGAAAGUAUACAU